rnacentral:rRNA from 1 species
CCUACGGGUGGCAGCAGUGGGGAAUAUUGCACAAUGGGGGAAACCCUGAUGCAGCGACGCCGCGUGAGCGAUGAAGGACUUCGGGAUGUAAAGCUCUAUCAGCAGGGAAGAAAAUGACGGUACCUGACUAAGAAGCCACGGCCAACAACGUGCCAGCAGCCGCGGUAAUACGUAGGGGGCAGGCGUUAUCCGGAUUUACUGGGUGUAAAGGGAGCGUAGACGGCUGUGCAAGCCAGAUGUGAAAGCCCGGGGCUCAACCCCGGGACUGCAUUUGGAACUGUGUGGCUGGAGUGUCGGAGAGGCAGGCGGAAGUCCUAGUGUAGCGGUGAAAUGCGUAGAUAUUAGGAGGAACACCAGUGGCGAAGGCGGCCUGCUGGACGAUGACUGACGUUGAGGCUCGAAAGCGUGGGGAGCAAACAGGAUUAGAUACCCCUGUAGUG